rnacentral:rRNA from 1 species
UACAGAGGGUGCGAACGUUGUUCGGAAUUACUGGGCGUAAAGCGCGUGUAGGCGGCUCGGAAAGUCGGAUGUGAAAGCCCUGGGCUUAACCCAGGAAGUGCACUCGAAACUUCCGAGCUUGAGUUCUGGAGAGGAAGGCGGAAUUCUUGGUGUAGAGGUGAAAUUCGUAGAUAUCAGGAAGAACACCGGUGGCGAAGGCGGGUCUCUGGGCCGAUAUUGACGCUGAGGAGCGAAAGCGUGGGGAGCGAACAGG